rnacentral:lncRNA from 1 species
ACGGCUCGACCUAAAUAAAACCCUUCUCUUAUUAGACUGCGUUCGCUCGUAUAAAAUCUCAGACCUUUGAUUUUUACUGUUUAUUAAUUAGUCUUUUUACCUUAUUUUCACAAACCGUGUGUUUCAAAAACUUUUCCUUAAAUAACUUUAUGUAUUCACCCUUAUUUGUAUACUAUGCACAUGUUGUUUACUUUAUCCCAUUUUCUUAAAUAUUUUCUUCCUUUGCUGAUCAAAUUAGGAUCCCUUAAUUAAAGGAAUCUCUGUUAGCUGAUUCAUCUUAAUUGAUACUCUUCUUUUUUUACUUCAUCACUGAAUUCUGACUAAAAACAAAAAAUCGGAAUUCUUCUCUCUUCUUUACUGCUACUAUUACUACUUUCUAGUUCUCUUGACUGCUAUUGAGCAUUCUCCACCUGCACUUCUUGCUGCUUGAACUCAUGGACACUUGGGAGUAUUUUAUAGCAUGUUCCUGUUUAUUUCUGGCUAUCUGUUUGCUGCUAUUAGUCUGCUAUCCUAAAACUUAUAACUGCUAUGUUCUUCUAUGUUUAAUAGCAUCCAUGUUUUUCUCUACUUCCACCGCUUUCUUUGUGUGCUCAUUUAUGCUUUUCCUGCACUAUUUAAUUACUUUCAAGAAAGUUAAUCCCUCUCCCUACUCCUUUUCGUAUGUGUGUUUGUCCCGGAUCAUAGCAACAUUAUUAAUUGCUAUAUGUGAUUCAGGAUUAGACUCUUUUGAGUCUCUACUCGAUUGCUUUCCCAUUCCCCUUCAAUGUGCUGAGCUCUAAUUUGGGUUUGUUGAUGUCCUGAUCAUUAUUCAGACAUGAGUUUGACUCCUUAGAGUCUGCUCUUAUUUGAUUGAAUCUGAGUGAGAGGUUAGGGGUGUGCCAGUCUAUGCCAUGACUGGGUAUGACCACCUCAUGCUGAGGUUCCCCUUUCACUUGACACCUACUCAUAGCUACUAAGUUAUACCCCCCUCUGGUAAGCCAUGCUUAGGGACCCUAGAGUUCCCUCUGAACUUGGAUGCCAAUGGGCUGGUAAUUCCACACAUCACACUACUCUAUUACAACAUUCAAUCUUUAGAGUGUAAGCAUUGCCUGGGCUCUUGAAGCUCUUUGGAACUUUGAAACACUCUAUGAGAAGGCCUUGGAAUCUGGAAUCUGGAUUUGUUGAAACACAUGUAUUGGAUAUCAAGAUUGCAUUAGGCAGUUUGGAUGUGGGCUAUGAUGUAUGUUUUUUUGGCUUUGUAAUCUAACUUGGGGAAUAUAGUAGUAAAGGGUAUAUGAGGGGUUUACUUUCAGUUGAUUGUAUGUUAAGAAGUAGAGAUCACGUCUAUAGGACUUUCAUUACUUCAAGUCACCUAGAUAUCAUGCCUAUUGGACUUUUAUUGCUUUAAAUUUUUUAAAUAUCAUGCCUUUAGGCUUAAUGUUUGAAAUCAC